UAAUUAAGUAGAUUUAUCUUCUUUUCAGAAAUAAAUCCCGUUUAAUUUUUGACGGGUGCAUAUGUGUAAUUGCCUCAAAACCCAUCCGUGUGAAACGGUAAAACAUUCCGAUAAAACUGGUUUUCGUAAGUUUACCAAGCACGAGUUUUUCGUGCGUACAUUGUAAAGGCUGCGCAUUUAAAGUUUAAAAUUUGACGUGGAAACAUCGCUUAUUAAAACUGCUGUCGGUAUUUGAAAUGCUUCAAAAGUUCAACACAGCUGGUUUCAAGUGUUCACCAAUUCGUCUUUCAGAUAAGUAUUUCAUGUUAUUUUAAUUAAUUUUGGUUUUAUAAAAUGUGUAUUUUGAAUUUAGUAUGGCAGUGAUUUUCAAUAUGCAUUUCACAGUGUAGCUAUAACUUACACAAGAUUUGCUAACUUGGUUCGAUAUGGUAUAUAUAAUAUAGAUAUCAAAUGUUGUUGUUUUUUGUGUUUACUACCACUGACAUUUUGCUAUUUGGUCAUGAAAAAUUGUAAGAUUGCUUAUUUCAAGUCUUCAUGUGCGACACAAGGCGUGGGCGCGAACACGUGUCUUAUGUGUAAAUUUUAUACAUGUAUAUGCAUAAGUACAAUGACUCGGCUAUCUCCGCAUGACUAAUCAUUAUUUUAUAUGUUAAAUAAAGUUUACAAUUCGAUUUUAAAUACAGAUACUAAGUUAUUGUUAAAAGUAAUACAAACAAAAAAACAAACUUAACACAGAGCUUGGAAAAUAUUUAGUCGUGUACAGAUGUACAUGUUUUUGAUUUAUUUUGUAGUAUUACUGAUACAGACUGGUGUGUGCAGCUACGUCUAUAGACAUAUAGACGAACACGUGAAAACUCGAAUCGUGCUGUAAUACUUCCAGAGCAAAGGUAUAUCAAGGAAGGAACCGGUUGAUGCUAUGGGCUGAUGGAUAGCGGCAUGGCAUGGUUCAAUGUGCUGAUGGGAAAUGACUCCUUAAUUCACGCUAUUCAUGUAAAAGCUUGAAUCCAGCCGGUUUUUCAUUACUUCCCGUUCAGCCAUGCCAUGCCGCUCCAUCGACACCUGUGCUUGAAUUUGAUGUCCAGUAAUUACAGUCUACAGAAAACAUUUUAUCCCACGUAUUUAGUGUUUGAAAUGUGUUGACACUCAAAGUAAUAAUUGGAUGCUCUACGUCUGAUUACAACAAACUUUGUUGUAGAAAUAAACAGUUGUAAUUUGGAACAUUACUCGAUACUUAAAAAUAAUUUAUUAAAAUAUUUAUUAGUAUUAACAAUAAUUAAUUGAGCUAAAUGAUUAAAAUGGUGCCUUUUUAUAUAUUCUAAUGCUUAAAUGAAUUUGUAAGGAUGCGACCCGACAUUUUUGUGGUAUGACAUUGACAAACGGGUACAGGUUUCCUAUUUUUCCCACUGGGUUUUAUUUGGUUUUUCCUGGGCGAGUCGACCACAAUUUGCAAGUUUCAUGGUAUAGGAAAUCAAAAUGUUUUUAUUUUACUAUUUUCACAUACCUAACUUUAUUGAUCAUAUCUGAAAACUAGAAUAUAUCUUUCAUAAUGCAAAUACGUGUGUAUACUAGUAAUUGAUACAAAAGUGUGUUAAAUCCAGUCGUGACUUUAUAUAGUAUUACUGUAACUUCUCUAAGUCAAAUUAUAUUCAAGACUUUUCAUUAUCAUUGCGAAUAUCUCAUUGUUAAGAGAUUUAAUGGGAGCAAUUUGCCCCGAUUUCUCUUUAGCUUUGUUAUUGUUUUACUCUUGUAAAAUGCCACGCCGCUUUAUAUUCUUAAUCGUUGACCUCUUUGCGGCCAGUCCAAGCAGAGUUUAGCAUUUUCAGAGCUUAUUACCAUAGUUUACAGCACUUUGCGUUGCUAUGUAGCUUUCCAUGCAUUUAGCUGGGAGCUGUCUUUCAUAUUUUUCUCAUUCAUUUCAUAUUUUUUGACGAUGAUAUUUGUUUUCACCAAAAAGCACAAUAAAGUCACGGCCUUAUUCCAAUCA